rnacentral:rRNA from 1 species
AUUGAACGCUGGCGGCGGGCCUAACACAUGCAAGUCGAACGCUGUAGCAAUACAGAGUGGCAGACGGGUGAGUAACGCGUGGGAACCUUCCCAAUGGUACGGAAUAGCCCAGGGAAACUUGGGGUAAUACCGUAUACGCCCCUAGGGGGAAAGAUUUAUCGCCAUUGGAUGGGCCCGCGUCGGAUUAGCUAGUUGGUGAGGUAAUGGCUCACCAAGGCAACGAUCCGUAGCUGGUUUGAGAGAAUGACCAGCCACACUGGGACUGAGACACGGCCCAGACUCCUACGGGAGGCAGCAGUGGGGAAUCUUGGACAAUGGGCGCAAGCCUGAUCCAGCCAUGCCGCGUGAGUGACGAAGGCCUUAGGGUUGUAAAGCUCUUUUGCCGGGGACGAUAAUGACGGUACCCGGAGAAUAAGUCCCGGCUAACUUCGUGCCAGCCGCCGCGGUAA